rnacentral:rRNA from 1 species
UACGAAGGUGGCAAGCGUUACUCGGAAUUACUAGGCGUAAAGGGCAGGUAGGUGGUUUGGUUAGUCUGUUGUGAAAGUUCCUUGCUUAACGGGGAGAGGCCAACAGAUACUGCCAGACUUGAGUAUGGGAGAGGUUACUGGAAUUCCCGGUGUAGCGGUGAAAUGCGCAGAGAUCGGGAGGAACACCAAUGGCGAAAGCAGGUAACUGGACCAUUACUGACACUCAGCUGCGAAAGCUAGGGGAGCAAACAGG